rnacentral:rRNA from 1 species
UACGGAGGGGGCUAGCGUUAUUCGGAAUUACUGGGCGUAAAGCGCACGUAGGCGGACCAGAAAGUUGGGGGUGAAAUCCCGGGGCUCAACCCCGGAACUGCCCGGAAAACUCCUGGUCUUGAGUUCGAGAGAGGUGAGUGGAAUUCCGAGUGUAGAGGUGAAAUUCGUAGAUAUACGGAGGAACACCAGUGGCGAAGGCGGCUCACUGGUUCGAUACUGACGCUGAGGUGCGAAAGCGUGGGGAGCAAACAGG